CUACGGGGGGCUCCAGUGAGGAAUAUUGCACAAUGGGGGGAGCCCUGAUGCAGCAACGCCGCGUGGAGGAUGACGCAUUUCGGUGUGUAAACUCCUUUUAUAUGUCAAGAAAAUGACGGUAGCAUAUGAAUAAGCACCGGCUAACUCCGUGCCAGCAGCCGCGGUAAUACGGAGGGUGCAAGCGUUACUCGGAAUCACUGGGCGUAAAGGACGCGUAGGCGGGUUGGAAAGUCAGGUGUGAAAUCCUACAGCUUAACUGUAGAACUGCACUUGAAACUUCUAAUCUAGAGUAUGGGAGGGGGAGAUGGAAUUAGUGGUGUAGGGGUAAAAUCCGUAGAUAUCACUAGGAAUACCUAAAGCGAAGGCGAUCUCCUGGAACAUUACUGACGCUAAGGCGUGAAAGCGUGGUGAGCAAACAGGAUUAGAUACCCGCGUAGUC
rnacentral:rRNA from 1 species